UACAGAGGUCCCGAGCGUUGUUCGGAUUCACUGGGCGUAAAGGGUGCGCAGGUGGGUUGGCAAGUUUGAUGUGAAAGCCCCGGGCUUAACCCGGGAAUGGCAUUGAAUACUGCUGAUCUGGAGGAUCGGAGGGGGGACUGGAAUUCUUGGUGUAGCAGUGAAAUGCGUAGAUAUCCGGAGGAACACCGACGGCGUAGGCAGCGCGCUGGCUGUGAAUAAAGCUGACACUGAGGCACGAAAGCUGGGGGAGCAAACAGG
rnacentral:rRNA from 1 species